CAGUAGCCGCGGGAAUACGUAGGUGGCAAGCGUUGUCCGGAAUUAUUGGGCGUAAAGCGCGCGCAGGCGGAUCAGUUAGUCUGUCUUAAAAGUUCGGGGCUUAACCCCGUGAUGGGAUGGAAACUGCUGAUCUAGAGUAUCGGAGAGGAAAGUGGAAUUCCUAGUGUAGCGGUGAAAUGCGUAGAUAUUAGGAAGAACACCAGUGGCGAAGGCGACUUUCUGGACGAAAACUGACGCUGAGGCGCGAAAGCCAGGGGAGCGAACGGGAUUAGAUACCCGUGUAGUCCCUGUCUCUUAUACA
rnacentral:rRNA from 1 species